GGUUAAGCUCCCCGAUUGAUUUUCUCUCGUGCCACCGACGCAUCAAUUACGCUGGCCUGGCAUUAAUUAUCGUCUGGCGUAUGCAUUUGCUGGGCUUACCUUAUGCCCGUUAUGCCUCAGGGUUGCCAUGUGUUUGCCGUGGAAGGGGUGGCGACCCCAGGAAGGGAUGGGGCCUUCUUCCGAAGCGGGGUUGGGACCGCUUAUCGUUGUUUGCCUUUUAAUUUUUAUUGCUUUUGGCGUGCAGGAGCGGGAGGGGGAGCGCGGAGCGCACCCCACAACUGUUUGUUCAACGCUCAACAUACUGAAUAUGCUAUUUUCGUGUUCAUAUUCCACAUGCAUCACAGUCCCCGGAUAAAGACCAAAGACCCGGGCGACACUCAUACACACCCAGAAGCACAGACAGAAUACUGGGAAGUAUCUUUCAUUAUUGUUAAGCAAUGACUAUGAUCAGUUUUGUAAACUUAACAUAACCAGGAACUGGUGCAAAUGAGGUAACUAUAUAUUGCAAUUACCCAUUUAUUAUUGGACAUGGUUUCUUACAGUGUAGAAUUGCAGCUGAUUUGUGCUUAUUCUUCCGUCCAUUCGUUUAACACUCCUGUGAUUGGGUCAAUUGCAUUUGUUGUUCUUGCAUCUUGGCUAUCUUCCUUUCCCCUUCAUUCCCCCUUAUCAACGCUAUUGCCACUUCCUUCGUUGCACUACAUCCGUGCGGCUUUCGAGAUUUGUUUG